UGAGCCAUCUGUGCUCCGGGGCUGGAAACCGGGCCUGGAUCCUGGCUUCCUGUUUGGCCUGGCACUGGCUGCCCUCCCCUCCCCCCAGGAUCCGCUUCCUCCUGAGAUGUGGGGCUGCGGGGAUCACAGCCCCAGCCCCUUCAGCUGGGGAAGCAAGGGUGUGGCCUCCACUCUCCACGCCCUGUGCCUGGGCUCUGCACUCGGGGAGGAGAGGUCGGGGCUGGGCAGAGACACAGGGAGGAGAGAAGCAGCCUGCGCCUGGACAGCCCUGCCCGAGAGUGACCCAGGCCACACUGCUGCCCUGGUCCAGGGGAGGAGAGAGAAGGGCGGAGAAGAUUUCGAAGGCAAACUCAAGACCCCAUGGCAAAAAGGUUUAGACAGAGAACAGCGAGCGGUGGGGCCAGGGGACGAGUUAGAGUUAGGUUUGCACAGUGGCCCAGGCCCAGCUGGGGUGCAGGCCAGUGUCGGGUGUCCCAGGUCCCCAAAGGGCCGGAGUGCUAUGGGGAGGAGGAGGAGCCUGGCGGGUCCCUGUCACAGAGCUGUGGGACCAGCGCCCCCCUCACUUUCCUUCCUGGCCGCGCCUGGCUGUGACCGGUCCCCACCCUGUCCCUGGAGCCCACCAGAGCCCCAGGCCACGGUCUGCUUGAUCUUGGGCUGGAGACCGUAACUGAGCCAGAACAGCCUUUUUCUCUUUAUGCGUCUGUUCUCUCUGGCAUUUCAUCACGGUGAGGAAAGCUGGGCAAGGCCCUCUUCCCCGCUCCUCCCGGCCCCUCCUCAGGGGCCCGCCCUGGAAUCUCAGCUCGUAGCCAGGGCCUGGUCCCCCGAGGCCAGGCUGGGUGGUCCAGAGAUUUUCAGUCUUUCCACAUCGGCACCGGAUCAGUUUCUCUCAGGGACCUUUGCUCCCUAUUUAAGCGAAAGCAAAUCACUCCUGUCCACCUCCAGGGGGAAGUCCAGGAAAAGUAGAAGUAGAGGGAAGGUCUGCAGGGCUCAGCGAGAGCAGACAUUUCCAGAACAGAAGACGGAAAGCAUUCACCAGGGAAGCAAAAUCAACAAGUUGGUUUUUAUCACAAUUAAAAGCCUCUCUCUGGCAAAAGGAACCAUUUAAACAGAGCGCGUCUCAAACUCAGAGAUUCUGACCAGCAGCGCACAGAUCUGCCAAAGUGUUUGUUUCCAGAAUUGAGGAAGAAGAUUGCUUCUCGGCCUUUUGGUUAAGAUCAAGUGCAGAACUGAGGAAGAACUAUUAUGAAUCAGUUCUCACUACGAAGUUCAGGGUGGCCUUGAGCGUACUGCUGUAGCCCAGACGGCCUCGAAUUUGCAACAAUCUUCCUGCCUCAGCCUCCCAAGUGCUGGGAUUACAGGCCUGCGCCACCAUGCCCGGCCGAAUGCAUUUUAGACUUCUGUCAGGUGCUUAUGUCCAAGGGGAACAAUGAUCAUUUACUGAACACUUAAUAUGCACAAGUUUGCUUUAUGGA